GCACCAGCGUUCUUGGGGGGUGCCGUGGCACUGGCUGUGACCAGAGGGGGGCAGGACAGGGCUGUCUGAAGCUUGAGGAAAUUCCUUCAUGAAGAAGCCUUGCCUCGAAGCUGGACUGGAGCCAGGACUUGCAACCCAGAUUCUGUGUCUGCUGUGUAAUCUUGGACAGUUUCCCUACCUUCUCUGGUCUUCCCUUUCCCAUUGCAGAUGGAGUAUCCCUUGUCCAAAAUGCUUGAGAGUUUACUGGUUGGGAGGUUUUGGAAUUUUAGGAGUUAGGAAUAUUUGCAUAGACUUCACCAGUUGAGAAUCUCUAGCUAAUCUGAAAAUCCAAAAUGCCUCCAAAUUCCAAUUUAUUGAACAUCAUAUUGGUGCUUAAAAGGUUUCAUAUCUGGGGUUUCCAAAUUAGGGGUGCUCAAGCUGUUUCAUCUACACCACACACAAGAGCAUGGCACAUCUAGCACACCGUAGGUCCUGGAACACAAGAGUCUGGGUUAGUGCCCCAGCUCCUCAGGGUCUCCUUCGGCCCCCAGUCUGCCUGCCUUUGACUCCACUGUGGGCGGUCCCUGGGUCUUCCAGCUGGGAAGUCCACUUCUUAAGAGAGUGACAUCCCUCCCCUGAGGUGCCAUCAGCCUCUGGACCCCCAAGGAGAUCUCAGGAUGUAUCUGGUCCUCCCACUUGCAGCCCCUUCUACCAGGCAGUGAGAAGAGAGAAGAGAGCCUGAC
rnacentral:lncRNA from 1 species